rnacentral:tRNA from 1 species
UGGGGUGUGGUUCAGUGGUAAAGUAUGUGUUUAAUAUGCAUGAAGCCCUGGGUUCAAUUCCCAGCACUGCAU